UACAGGGGGUGCAAACGUUGCUCGGAAUCAUUGGGCGUAAAGCGCACGUAGGCGGUUCGUUAUGUCGGAUGUGAAAGCCCUUGGCUUAACCGAGGAAGUGCAUCCGAAACUGGCGAGCUAGAGUACUAAAGAGGAUCGCGGAAUUCCCGGUGUAGAGGUGAAAUUCGUAGAUAUUGGGAAGAACACCGGUGGCGAAGGCGGCGA
rnacentral:rRNA from 1 species